rnacentral:rRNA from 1 species
GAUGAACGCUGGCGGCGUGCCUAAUACAUGCAAGUCGAGCGAAGGGACGAGAAGCUUGCUUCUCUGAUGUUAGCGGCGGACGGGUGAGUAGCACGUGGAUAACCUACCUAUAAGACUGGGAUAACUUCGGGAAACCGGAGCUAAUACCGGAUAAUAUUUUGAACCGCAUGGUUCAAAAGUGAAAGACGGUCUUGCUGUCACUUAUAGAUGGAUCCGCGCUGCAUUAGCUAGUUGGUAAGGUAACGGCUUACCAAGGCAACGAUGCAUAGCCGACCUGAGAGGGUGAUCGGCCACACUGGAACUGAGACACGGUCCAGACUCCUACGGGAGGCAGCAGUAGGAAAUCUUCCGCAAUGGGCGAAAGCCUGACGGAGCAACGCCGCGUGAGUGAUGAAGGUCUUCGGAUCGUAAAACUCUGUUAUUAGGGAAGAACAUAUGUGUAAGUAACUGUGCACAUCUUGACGGUACCUAAUCAGAAAGCCACGGCUAACUACGUG